rnacentral:tRNA from 2 species
AAGGCCCUAGCUUAAUUAAAGCGUCUGAGUUGCAUUUAGAAGAUGCAGACUAGUGUCCUGCGGGUCUUA